GCGCAACAUCAACCAGUACAUCGAUAAUAACAAAUUCAAUGGGCACCUCUGGGGAGUAUUGUUUACCCAUUUUAUCAACCUUGCUUUUUCCAACUUUUUUGUACUCUUUCUUAAUCAUUGGCUAAAAACAUCUAUUGCACUCACCCAUGUCCUGAGCCAUCCAUCUUUGUGACUCCUAUUAAUCCCGAACCUUCUUGGAUUCGGAGCGUCAAACCGUGUUCCCCCUUAUGAAAUGUUCGCCAAACUUGACAUCUGAUACUACGGGGGGCUGCGCAUUCGCACAGGAUAUGAUGGGGCGUUUUCUUCGCCUUCUCCUAGAAUCUACAUGAAUCGGUGUUCGCGUCAUUCGGAUGAUAUCUGAAAGCGAUGAUCUCUAGAUUGAAAUCGAAAAAACCGGGCAAAUAUUAACUAGACGGAUGGACAGACAGGCUUAAAUUAAUUAAGAAAAUUUUCCUCAUUCCGUUAAUGUAGUAAAAGAAAUACGUGGCUUCACAGAUGUUUCUGUCUAGAUCCGUCAAUCCGUCUACAUUCUUGAAGAAUAAAAGGAAUCUACCCCUCCUCUAUCUGGGCAUGCAUACAUAUGCAUACAUUUUUUUAUAUAAACACAUGGCAUAAAUUCAUCUUUCAUUUUGGACCAUUACACUCUUUCUCCAUGGCUAGUGCUAGGCCAAGGCUAGGUCUUACUUACUUCAUUUUGUGCUGGUUGAUUACUAACGACUAGAUUUUCUUAACGAGAUCUGUUAAAAUUGCCCAUGCCAACAGAGGUGGUCGCGAACAUCAGCGGACGCAUUAGCCCAAUGUAACACAAAUAAGGCAAACUUUGUGUAAGAAGUAAAGAAUUGAAAAAUCAAAUCAGAGAAAGACAAUUUAGAACAAAUAAGUUAAUAAAUAGACUUUCAUGACUAAAACCUAAUAGAGUGAAAUGAAAGAG